rnacentral:rRNA from 1 species
CCUACGGGUGGCUGCAGUGGGGAAUAUUGGACAAUGGGGGGAACCCUGAUCCAGCCAUGCCGCGUGUGUGAAGAAGGCCCUCGGGUUGUAAAGCACUUUCAGUGAGGAAGAACGCCUGGUGGUUAAUACCCAUCAGGAAAGACAUCACUCACAGAAGAGGCACCGGCUAACUCCGUGCCAGCAGCCGCGGUAAUACGGAGGGGGCGAGCGUUAAUCGGAAUUACUGGGCGUAAAGCGCGCGUAGGUGGCUUGAUAAGCCGGUUGUGAAAGCCCCGGGCUCAACCUGGGAACGGCAUCCGGAACUGUCAAGCUAGAGUGCAGGAGAGGAAGGUAGAAUUCCCGGUGUAGCGGUGAAAUGCGUAGAGAUCGGGAGGAAUACCAGUGGCGAAGGCGGCCUUCUGGACUGACACUGACACUGAGGUGCGAAAGCGUGGGUAGCAAACAGGAUUAGAUACCCUAGUAGUC